AGAGUUUGAUCAUGGCUCAGGAUGAACGUUGGCGGCGUGCCUAAUACAUGCAAGUCGAACGGAGAUUGUAGCAAUACGGUCUCAGUGGCGAACGGGUGAGUAACGCGUUGGUGACCUGCCCCGAAGUGUGGAAUAACAGAUCGAAAGAGCUGCUAAUACCGCAUAAUAUCCAGAAGAUUAGACGCUUUUGGAUUAAAGGAUUUAUUCGCUUCGGGAGGGGCCUGCGUCCCAUCAGCUAGUUGGUAAGGUAAUGGCUUACCAAGGCUAUGACGGGUAGGGGACCUGAGAGGGUGGCCCCCCACAAUGGAACUGAAACACGGUCCAUACACCUACGGGUGGCAGCAGUAGGGAAUAUUAGUAAUGGGCGAAAGCCUGAACUAGCAACGCCGCGUGUGCGAAGAAGGCCUUCGGGUUGUAAAGCACUUUUAGAGAGGAUGAGGAAGGACGGUACUCUCAGAAUAAGUCUCGGCUAACUACGUGCCAGCAGCCGCGGUAACACGUAGGAGGCGAACGUUAUCCGGAUUUACUGGGCGUAAAGCGCGUGUAGGUGGUUUGGUAAGUAGGGCGUGAAAGCUCCCGGCUCAACUGGGAGAGGCCGUUCUAAACUGCCAAGCUAGAGGAUGGUAGAGGGAGGUGGAAUUCCGGGUGUAGCGGUGGAAUGCGCAGAUAUCCGGAGGAACACCAGUGGCGAAGGCGGCCUCCUGGGCCACUCCUGACACUCAGACGCGAAAGCUAGGGUAGCAAACGGGAUUAGAGACCCCGGUAGUCCUAGCCCUAAACGAUGUAGACUUGGCGUCGGUGGUUUAAACGCCAUCGGUGUCGCAGCUAACGCGAUAAGUCUACCGCCUGGGGACUACGGCCGCAAGGUUAAAACUCAAAUGAAUUGACGG
rnacentral:rRNA from 1 species